rnacentral:misc_RNA from 1 species
AAGUCGUAACAAGGUUUCCGUAGGUGAACCUGCGGAAGGAUCAUUAAUGGUUGACCUUGAGGGUCUUAUCAAUAAUCCUAGCACCUGUGAACCGUUUUUGGCCUCCGGGCCGCUUACAUUACUACAAACAUUGUGUGAAGAACGUCUUGUUAUCUUAACAAAACAAAACUUUCAACAACGGAUCUCUUGGCUCCA